AUUGAACGCUGGCGGCAUGCCUUACACAUGCAAGUCGAACGGUAACGGGCCUUCGGGUGCCGACGAGUGGCGAACGGGUGAGUAAUGUAUCGGAACGUACCUUUCAGUGGGGGAUAACGUAGCGAAAGUUACGCUAAUACCGCAUAUUCUGUGAGCAGGAAAGCAGGGGAUCGCAAGACCUUGCGCUGAUUGAGCGGCCGAUAUCAGAUUAGCUAGUUGGUGAGGUAAAGGCUCACCAAGGCGACGAUCUGUAGCGGGUCUGAGAGGAUGAUCCGCCACACUGGAACUGAGACACGGUCCAGACUCCUACGGGAGGCAGCAGUGGGGAAUUUUGGACAAUGGGGGCAACCCUGAUCCAGCCAUGCCGCGUGAGUGAAGAAGGCCUUCGGGUUGUAAAGCUCUUUCGGCCGGGAAGAAAUCGUAUGGGUUAAUACCCUGUGCGGAUGACGGUACCGGCAUAAGAAGCACCGGCUAACUACGUGCCAGCAGCCGAAC
rnacentral:rRNA from 1 species